UCUGGGCAUGUCUGUGAGGGUGAGAUUAGCAUUUGACUUGGUGGGUUGAGUAAAGCAGAUGGCCCUCCCCAUUGUGGGUGGGCCUCAUCCAAUCUGUUGAGGGCUUGAAUAGAACUAAAGGCAGAGGAAAGGUUGAAUUCUUUCUCUUCCUGACUUCUUGCGCUGGGAUACCAGUCUUCUGCCCUCUUACUGGUACUUACAUCGUCGAUGUUCCUGGUUCUCAGGCUUUCACACUCGGACUGGAACUACACUACUGGCUUUCCAAGGCUCCAGCUUACAGACAGAAGGUUGUGGGACUUCUCAGCCUCCAUAAUCUGCAUGUUUCCAGGUGAUGGACAUAAAACAGGAAGAUGGACAAAAUUCCCUGACCUCACGGAGCUCACAUUCUAGUGAGGGGAGACAGACAAUAAAUAAGUGACCAAGUAUAUCAGAUGAUACUCCUGCCUCCCAAGUCUCCAGCUGGUGUUCCACUCCAGCUCCUAUCGACCAUCUACAUGUCUCCCUGGAUGUUGGGGCUACAAAUCGCUGUCUGAACUCCUCACCUGCCCUCAUCGGCUACUCCUCCCGGUGCCAAUUGUGCUCUCAUCUGCGUAUGGUCAGUCACCAGGGCGGGUGCUUCUAAUUCAUGAUAUAUGUCAU